UCUGUAACACUGAGGCAGUAAUAUUCUCGCCUCCACUGGCCGGCCGAUAAACUCACAAAACGUAGGUGGUGUGCUACAUGAGGGGCAAGUCUUUUGCUAACACCACAAGGGUCUCUGGCCCAAUGAGUGGAGUUUGAUAGUAAUUCUUGCUACAAGU
ensembl:snoRNA SNORA62 Small nucleolar RNA SNORA62/SNORA6 family